rnacentral:rRNA from 1 species
CCUACGGGUGGCAGCAGUGAGGAAUAUUGGUCAAUGGCCGAGAGGCUGAACCAGCCAAGUCGCGUGAGGGAAGACGGCCCUACGGGUUGUAACCCUCUUUUGUCGGGGAGCCAAGCGAGCCACGUGUGACUCAUUGAGAGUACCCGAAUAAAAAGCAUCGGCUAACUCCGUGCCAGCAUCCGCGGUAAUACCGGGGAUGCGAGCGUUAUCCGGAUUUAUUGGGUUAAAGGGGUGCGCAGGCGGAGGUGCAAGUCAGCGGUAAAAUUGCGGGGCUCAACCCCGUACUGCCGUUGAAACUGCAUCCCUUGAGUGCGCGAGAAGUAUGCGGAAUGCGUGGUGUAGCGGUGAAAUGCAUAGAUAUCACGCAGAACUCCGAUUGCGAAGGCAGCAUACCGGCGCGCAACUGACGCUCAUGCACGAAAGCGUGGGUAUCGAACAGGAUUAGAUACCCGUGUAGUC